ACCUGAUCAGCCAUGCCGCGUGAGUGAAGAAGGCCUUCGGGUUGUAAAGCUCUUUCAGCCGGAAAGAAACGGUUACGGUUAAUACCUGUGAUUAAUGACGGUACCGGAAGAAGAAGCACCGGCUAACUACGUGCCAGCAGCCGCGGUAA
rnacentral:rRNA from 1 species